rnacentral:rRNA from 1 species
GAACCUGCCCCCUCCCCUGGGAUAGCCGCCCGAGCGGACUGGUAAUACCAGGAUACCCCGGGGCGCCGCAUGGCACCCCGGCUAAAGCCCCGAUGGGAGGGGAUGGCUCCCCGGCCCCUCAGGGUAGACGGCGGGGUAGACGGCCCACCCGUGCCGACAACGGGUAGCCGGGUUGAGAGACCGACCGGCCAGAUUGGGACUGAGACCCGGCCCAGACUCUCCUACGGGAGGCAGCAGUGGGGGAAUCUUGCGCAAUGGGGGGAACCCUGACGCAGCGACGCCGCGAGCGGGACGGAGGCCUUCGGGUCGUAAACCGCUUUCAGCAGGGAAGAGUCAAGACUGUACCUGCAGAAGAAGCCCCGGCUAACUACGUGCCAGCAGCCGCGGUAAUACGUAGGGGGCGAGCGUUAUCCGGAUUCAUUGGGCGUAAAGCGCGCGUAGGCGGCCCGGCAGGCCGGGGGUCGAAGCGGGGGGCUCAACCCCCCGAAGCCCCCGGAACCUCCGCGGCUUGGGUCCGGUAGGGGAGGGUGGAACACCCGGUGUAGCGGUGGAAUGCGCAGAUAUCGGGUGGAACACCGGUGGCGAAGGCGGCCCUCUGGGCCGAGACCGACGCUGAGGCGCGAAAGCUGGGGGAGCGAACAGGAUUAGAUACCCUGGUAGUCCCAGCCGUAAACGAUGGACGCUAGGUGUGGGGGGACGAUCCCCCCGUGCCGCAGCCAACGCAUUAAGCGUCCCGCCUGGGGAGUACGGCCGCAAGGCUAAAACUCAAAGGAAUUGACGGGGGCCCGCACAAGCAGCGGAGCAUGUGGCUUAAUUCGAAGCAACGCGAAGAACCUUACCAGGGCUUGACAUAUGGGUGAAGCGGGGGAGACCCCGUGGCCGAGAGGAGCCCAUACAGGUGGUGCAUGGCUGUCGUCAGCUCGUGUCGUGAGAUGUUGGGUUAAGUCCCGCAACGAGCGCAACCCCCGCCGCGUGUUGCCAUCGGGUGAUGCCGGGAACCCACGCGGGACCGCCGCCGUCAAGGCGGAGGAGGGCGGGGAGGACGUCAAGUCAUCAUGCCCCUUAUGCCCUGGGCUGCACACGUGCUACAAUGGCCGGUACAGAGGGAUGCCACCCCGCGAGGGGGAGCGGAUCCCGGAAAGCCGGCCCCAGUUCGGAUUGGGGGGUGCAACCCGCCCCCAUGAAGUCGGAGUUGCUAGUAAUCGCGGAUCAGCAUGCCGCGGUGAAUGAAAUGCCGGGCCUUGCACA